ACUUCAUUGAAUCCCUCGUCUGUGUGGCCAAGCUGUACGGAUAGCGUUCAGCUCCUGUUACCUUCUAAGAAGUGAAUUUGCUUACAGAGAUUUAGUUACUCUUUUCGCACACCAUGGUUUAUGAGUUAUCACUGACGACUGUAGCAUUCAUCUCAUUGCCAGUAGAACGAUUCAGUUAGAUCAUUCAGUCGUGAACGAACAACGGAGCAUUAAUAGAGAUAAAAUAGGAAAAAAUCUUGUCGAAGCUAAUACAAAAAGAAAAAAAAAACAGAUAUUUGAGAUACCAAUUGUGAUUAUUGAACGCACGUUGCGUACUCAUAAUCUAUUGUAAUUUCGUGUAGUCGUAAAGGCAUCAGUUUCCAAAAUACUUACAAAACUUCCUCAAAAUACAUUUUUAAGAUCUUAAACUACAAGAAAUUGCAAGAAAAGUAAAAAAUAAAAGAUAACAUGGAACCCUCAAUUUCGAAAAUAGAACUACAUCAAGUCAUGCAAGAACCCGUACAGAGGGGCAAAUGUACAUGCUGACAAUUUUUUCAUAUUGCACCUGUUGAUGAAAAAUGUUAAUACUGAAGAAGAAUGAAGGAUUUGUUUCAUACAAUUUCUUGAGAAAUUGAAACAUAUAAAUGAAGUAAAAACAUCAAGCAAUUUAAAAAAGUUCAAAAGUAGGAAUGAUUUUGCUGAAGACGUUAAUCAUUUAACAUUAAAAAACUAAGAAGAUCAUGUGUUAAAUGCGUCCAAUAAACUAAAAGAUUUACAAUCCAAUAUUAUAACAAUUUUAAAAGCUAAUAAUUUCGAAAAACAUACACGCCUGUUUCGGAUGCAAAAUAAAGCUUUGACAAAUAGCUUCCAAAAUCCGAAAGUUUUCGAUUUAAUCAAAAGAUGCACGAGAUCGUAGUGACAACAUUGUUUAUUUGAAAUUUUUGUUAAAUAAAUAGAAAAAGCAGAAACGGAUACAAAAAAUUUUCUUACUUUUCAGUGUAACAAAAUUGUUUGGAGAUCGAUUUGUAACACACCUGCACGACUUCAACUAAUCACUAAAAGCUAUUUAUUACUGAGCGAACUGUAAUUAUACUCGAUUGCUGGAUCUAUCAGAUUUGUCGCAAAAUAAAUACCGAUGGUGGAAUCUGCCAAAGGAAUUCGAAAUAUUGAUGAUCGACGCUUAUGUAGAGCAAUAAGCCGCUCACAGAUCACUCUAGCCAAUCUCAAAUUUAACCGAUAAUUUUGUUACACACGCGUGGCAACACAUAAAGCACGCAAUACGAGAAGAAACCGUAUCCUCAACAAAUUUACGAAACAAUUCAAAAAAAGAUAACUUCACAAUAAACGGAUUUUUGGAUGUCAUUGUUUUAACAAGGAUCUUCGAGUUCUGCCGAACAUCAUAAA